rnacentral:lncRNA from 1 species
UUGUGCAUUACCUGUAAAUUUACUUUUAAUAAUAAAUAUAUAAAUAAAUAUAUUUUUAAUUCUUACUAUGAUUGUAACAUUAAUAACAAUAAUGAUAAAUGAAAAUAAAAAAAGAAAGAACAACAAUGUAUUAUAAGAUAAAUGCUUUAGUAUAGAUCAAACUUUGAUUACAAUACCUCAUAUGGCAUAUAUUUGUCCAC